AUAAAUUUCCAAGUCUUAGACCUCACUUGCAAUGCGCAUUUUUACAGAUGGCAAAACGCAAGUUAACAAAACACCAUUGCUAAAACAAAAAUAAAAAGCGUAAGCCCAGACCCAAAAGUCCAGAACCAGAUCCCCAAAUUUUGUUUACGUUGAAAUCCCUAUAUCGAUUGGUACAAUGGCACAACUGGAAGCAUUAGAUGAAUCGAAGAAGAAGAAGCAGAAAAGAAAUCACGGGUCUACCAAAUUGUUUGUAAUGGUGGACUACCUUUUCCUCUUCAUCUUCUUCGGUUUCCUCACUUUCACUGUCUUCAAGAUGCUUCAUUUCUUCUGAUUAUUCUUCCACUUUUUCCGCCAAUCAGGAUAAUUCUUUACAUGUCAGUUUGAGUUCCAAAGCUGAGACGUUUUGAGAGAUCGGUUUGUUCCAGAGAUUAUGUUCUUUAAUUAUGCUGAAUCAAUUGUCUCAGCGGGGGAAUGAUGAAUGUAAUUUUACAGUCGGUAGUCCCGGGUAUAAGUUUGAUGCCGUUGUUUCAGAACCGCCCAAUGUUCAUUCGGUUAUUGUAUAUAGGUGUCGUUCAGGAGGCCUGAGGUUCAAAAUCCACACUUGCAACUCUUUCUUCUAUCCCAUCUCACAUUACUAUCUUCUUUAUACCAAAAAAAAAAAAAAAAAAUGGUCCAUGUAGAACAUUUCUACAUGCGGGAGUUGUUAGCUUUGUUGAUGAUGCAGGUAAGCACUCCUUUCAGCAAUUUAUUUGACCUAAAAGUUUGAAGCUAAUUAAGUUGCUUUAAUAAGAACCAACAAGUUUAUCAGGUAAUACAAUAGUUGAAAGGAAUCAAAUCACCAAUCUGCUCUAUGUGGGACUGUGAGUGUACUUGUAUUUUUCUUCUUAUUGCUCCCUUUUCCUCUUUUGGCUACAUUGUUAUGUCAAUUUUCUGUUGAAAAGACUUAAAAGAGGGUCUAAUUGUUUCUUCAUUUAGUCAGUGAUUAGCGGCUUUGUAUUCUCUUCAGCUGUCUCUUUUCAUUUUCACAUUGGACACAUUGGACCCACUCUUAGGUGUGAAAGCAUUCCGAUCUAAAAUUGAUCAACCUUUCAAUUAUUGACAUGGAAAAGUAUGUUUUAGGGCUAUGAAUUUUCUUUUAAUACUGUCAUGUAUCUUAUCUCGUUGAAGUUUAUGAACUGUAUAUUGAGUAGCAUACUUUUUGGAGAAUAUUAAUCUCUCUUCAUCGCGCUCGCAGACACAUUUGAAUACACUGAUGCUGGCCUGUUAUAAUACUCGUGGUCAAGGGUUUUUUUUCUUUUUAUAUAAAAAAAAAAAACCAUAAUUUAAGAAUAGAACAAAAAUUUAUAGACG